ensembl:snRNA U6 U6 spliceosomal RNA
AUGCUCGAUUUGGCAGCACAUACACUAAAAUUGGAAUGAUACAGAGAUUAGCAUGGCCCAUGUGCAAAGAUGACAUGCAAAUUCAUGAAGCAUUCCAUAUUUUG